CCUACGGGAGGCAGCAGUGGGGAAUUUUGGACAAUGGGCGCAAGCCUGAUCCAGCAAUGCCGCGUGAGUGAAGAAGGCCUUCGGGUUGUAAAGCUCUUUUGUCAGGGAAGAAACGGUCUACUCUAAUACAGUGGGCUAAUGACGGUACCUGAAGAAUAAGCACCGGCUAACUACGUGCCAGCAGCCGCGGUAAUACGUAGGGUGCAAGCGUUAAUCGGAAUUACUGGGCGUAAAGCGUGCGCAGGCGGUUAUAUAAGUCAGAUGUGAAAUCCCCGGGCUCAACCUGGGAACUGCAUUUGAGACUGUAUGGCUAGAGUGUGUCAGAGGGGGGUAGAAUUCCACGUGUAGCAGUGAAAUGCGUAGAUAUGUGGAGGAAUACCGAUGGCGAAGGCAGCCCCCUGGGAUAACACUGACGCUCAUGCACGAAAGCGUGGGGAGCAAACAGGAUUAGAUACCCUGGUAGUCCACGCCCUAAACGAUGUCUACUAGUUGUCGGGACUUAAUUGUCUUGGUAACGCAGCUAACGCGUGAAGUAGACCGCCUGGGGAGUACGGUCGCAAGAUUAAAACCGUCAAAGUAUAGUAGGCGUGAGACGUGCGACGGAGACACCGAGGGAGGAGG
rnacentral:rRNA from 1 species